rnacentral:rRNA from 1 species
CCCUUAGAUGUCCGGGGCUGCACGCGCGCUACACUGAAGGAAUCAGCGUGCUAAAACCAUUGUCGAAAGGCAUUGGUAAACCCAUUAAAAUCCUACGUGAUUGGGAUCGGGAAUUGCAAUUAUUUCCCUUGAACGAGGAAUUCCCAGUAAGUGUGGGUCAUAAGCUCGCGUUGAUUACGUCCCUUCCCUUUGUACACACCGCCCGUCGCUGCCCGGGACUGAGCCGUUUCGAGAAAAGCGGGGACUGCUGCUGUCGGGGCUUUCGGGCCUUGGCUUCGGUGGAAACCGCUUUAAUCGCAGUGGCUUGAACCGGGCAAAAGUCGUAACA